UCACAGAAUUAGAAAUGCCAUUAAACUUCAACAUGCUUAUAUACCGUCAUACAUAUAUUUGCAUCUACAUGACUUUUGAUCUGUAAAGCUUCAAUUAACGUUUCCAAAUCAAUGUUAUUAUUGAAGUGUUUGUUACCCAAUAUUCACUGCGGUAAUCAUUGUCGAGGUUUUAGUCGGAGAGAAGCAGGUGAGUUUGAAAUCAUCUGUGAGCUCAAACUUUUUAUGAAGUACUUUAUACUCACUUCCAGCUGCAAAAUACAAAUUCCCUCUCAACUGAUACACAUGCUGAGCGAAAUAAAGCUUAAACAUGUUUUACACGGUGAUUUUCCCUCAGCAGGCAUGUGGAAAUGGGCGUUGAUGGAACAAACAGACGCGAAAGUCCACAUCCAAGCGUCCCUCGUUCCAAAAUCGCUGUUAUAUCGUUCCGCAUACAAACUUAAUUUACAUUCCGAAAUUCCAGUCGGUGAUUUUGACACUUCUCAAGUUGCUUUCCCUCUUUACAUGUGUAAAUAAAAUGGUGGAAAGCGGAGCGUCUAGUGCGUAACCGAGCGUAAUCCAAGAAGCGGCACGACGCGCGAGGAUACACAACACAGAUGCGAUCAAAUGAGUUCACGGAGUUUACCGUGGGGUUCGGCUCUCUCUUUGUCCCACAGCACAAUAAUCCUUCACCAGGACGCCCUUAAAUUUACUGGAACGCUGAGGGAACUGGUUCAGAGAUUCCAGACGGAUCUCAAACACUGAACAGAAGUACUGCAAGUCUCUGAAAUGACCUCCUGCUGUUUUUAAGCUUUGGAUGAAGAGUGGCCCAAACAGAAGGACUCGCUUUACAAGGCUGUCAAAGACGCAAGCGCCAGCUGCGAGAGAAGACCUGAAACGAGUGCGUGGAGCUGGAGAGAUUUCAUGGGCUCCAUCUUCACCGGAUCAGGUGCACGAGUGGGACGCGUCCCUCCAGAAGCGUUUGCGAGCUUGAGAGCCCGGUUUCGCUUGGAUGAUGCCAGAGGUCAAGGGUCAGCAGCAGUUAAUAAGAGGAGCUGUCUGAGGUCCCAGGGGUCAUUCCCAAGGGUCUGACCCGCUUGUCGGCAACACUUAAUAAAUGGUCUAAAAGGCUUCAGAUAUAAGACAGUCGACAUCUACAAGAUGGUGGCAGCCGCCAUUUUGUGAUGUGCGGGGCCUCAGAGAGGUGAAGUAUAUUUGCUGAGCGGCUGAGUGCACCUUGACCCGCAGCCCACGCUGGCGCAGCUCCAGGCCGAAAACCUGCUGGAUUUGCCAUUUGGAAGUACUGACCUGCGACUUACCCGUUCCCGAUCCAUUCGGACAGGGGAUUCAGGAGUGAAGCUGCUCCGCUCUGGGACAGGUGCCAAUUGCUCACAAAAGGCGAGUGAAAAUAUCAGUGAUCUGCAAAAGGAAACGUCGGGGGUGAGUGGAAAACGCAAACUCGCAUGCGUCCGUGCAACUAACACAGAAAAAAGUGAAGGAUGGUUGCGAGGGGAGUGGAAGACCCCGAAAAAGAGGAUCGUGAAAGAGGAGGUGGGGGGCGUUUAUUCAAGCCUGCUUGAUGCUCCUCGGGCCUUCGAGAGCCGAUCGCAUGUGCCGUGGUAACCGCGGGACCAUUUGCAUGCGGCAGACACGCUAAUUGUGUGUUUGCUAACACGCACCAUUCAGCGAGACGCGCUCCGGUCCGCAGACGGGGUUCACACACGCCUCCCAGACGCCCCGGAGGCCUCCUAUUGUUCCAGAGGCCCAGCCGGCGAGCCUAACCAGAGCCCUGCGCAGGCCUGCCGAGAGGGGGAACUGGAAUUCGAGACCAGACGGGAUAGCUGAACGGGACGAACUCGCAGCCCCUCUCUCUCUUUCUCUCCGCAGCAAGAAAAAAGAGGCCUCCGGACGCUGACGUCCUCGCAGAUAUGUGCAAAAGUAAAGUUUGAAAUGGACUAACCAAGAUGCAGCCCUGCACAGGAACUUGACAAACAUGUUCACUAUGAAUCAUCAUUACAAGGAAAGAGCAGAAAGAAGAAAUUCUCCUGAAGUGUUUGACGGACAUGCGGGUGAGUGAAUAAGUGUGGUUCUGUGGCUUUAAGGCUUCUGGCGUGGCGUGGGGUACAGUACACGAGACUGUAAGCGGCAGAGAGUGGGCUUGUCAGGUGCUGCUGGCAAAGGUUAGCGCUCCGCUUUAAUAACAGGAUGCAGCUGCUCUCCGUCAUGAAUACACCAGACUGACUCUGACCAGAGACACGGACCAUAAGUCUUUUCUGGCCUGUCACUAAAUCGCUUUUUCACAUUGUAUCAGUUACAGGGAACUAAGGAAGCUCUGGCGUUAACAAGACUAGUUUGGCCGAAAAGCGGUUCAAUUGAGGUUACGCCGAGUCGCUGGUGGAACAGCUUUGGCCGGGAGCCUCCAUUGGCCAUUGUCUCGCAGUUAUGACAAAUACGGUGAACGUUUGGGGAAAUUAUGAACAAAUAAGGUGGAAACAGUUGCUGGGAUGAUAGCAGGGAGGAAAUCGGAGCGUAUUGUAGGUGUGAACCUGAUCCGGCCCUCAUCGGUUGAUCAUUGCUCCGCAUUCCUCGGCUCUUUGAAGCCUGCGGCCCGACGAAACCCUUCCCAGAGGCUCAUUGUCUUGCGUCGAGCUCUGGAGUGACAAUCCUGUGCAGCUGAUCUGACUCAUUAUGGAGUCGUGCUGCUGUUUAGUGAUGUCUCCACCACCGGAGACACCGUCUAGUGCUCUGGACAGAACAAGCACGCAUUUUUUUUUAAAGAUGCCAUAGUAAAGAAAACGCUCGCGAAAAUAGUAAUGAGAUUAAAUAGGCUAUCCAGACCUGUUUAAUGUGCAUUUAGUAAAUGAUUUGGUAAAUGUGUUUUUAUCCUAGUUUA